rnacentral:RNase_P_RNA from 1 species
GUAAGCCAGAUGAUCGCGGGUAGCAUUAGCUACGUGAGGAAAGUCGGAGCUCCAUAGAGCAAGGGUGCUAGAUAACGUCUAGUGGGAGUGAUCCUAAGGAAAGUGCAACAGAAAAUAACCGCCAACUAGUUUGGUAAGGAUGAAAAGGUGAGGUAAGAGCUCACCGUUGGCUAGGUGACUAGCCAAGCCGUGUAAACCCCACCCGGAGCAAGUCCAAGUUAGGGUAAAUAGGGUGCUGCUCGUACCCUCCGGUAGGUAGGACGCUUGAGCCUAUUGGUGACAAUAGGCCUAGAAAGAUGAUCAUCAAAUACAGAACUCCGCUUAUAGACUUGCUCAA